GGGGGCGCUACGGGCGCGGCGCUGACCCGGAGGCGGCGGCGGCGGUGCCCGGAUGGAGGCACGUCAUUGUCCCCCGCCGGGCGGCUGGGCUGUGUGCGGCGGCGGCGGCGGCCGAGGGGGAUGGAGCGAGCGCCGAGCCGGGUUAGAGUUGAACAAUGACCAUAGUUGACAAAGUUGAAUCUUCAGACCCAUCAGCCUGUCAGAAUCAGCCAGGCAGUUCCGAGGCAGUCUCGACUGGAGACAUGGAUGCAGGCUCUGCCGGCUGGAGUGCUGUGUCUUCAUUAAGUGAUGUUUCCAAUCAUACACUUUCUUUAGGACCAGUACCUGGUGCUGUUUAUUCAAAUUCAGCUAUACCUGAUAAGUCAGAGCCAUCACCACCGAAGGAUCAAGCCCUAGGUGAUGGCAUUGCUCCGCCACAGAAAAUUCUUUUUCCCUCGGAGAAGAUUUGUCUUAAGUGGCAGCAAACUCACAGAGUUGGCGCUGGGCUUCAGAAUUUGGGCAACACCUGUUUUGCCAAUGCAGCUUUGCAGUGUUUGACAUACACACCACCUCUCGCCAAUUACAUGUUAUCACAUGAGCACUCCAAGACAUGUCAUGCAGAAGGAUUUUGUAUGAUGUGUACAAUGCAAGCGCAUAUUACCCAGGCACUCAGUAAUCCUGGGGAUGUUAUUAAACCCAUGUUUGUUAUCAAUGAAAUGCAACGUAUAGCUAGGCACUUCCGUUUUGGAAACCAAGAAGAUGCUCAUGAGUUUCUCCAGUACACUGUUGAUGCUAUGCAGAAAGCAUGUUUAAAUGGCAGCAAUAAAUUAGAUAGACACACUCAAGCCACUACACUUGUUUGUCAGAUAUUUGGAGGAUAUCUAAGAUCUAGAGUCAAAUGUUUAAAUUGCAAGGGAGUUUCAGAUACUUUUGAUCCAUAUCUUGACAUUACAUUGGAGAUAAAGGCUGCUCCGAGUGUUAACAAGGCAUUGGAGCAAUUUGUGAAGCCAGAACAACUGGAUGGAGAAAACUCCUACAAGUGUAGCAAGUGCAAAAAGAUGGUUCCAGCUUCAAAGAGAUUUACCAUACAUAGAUCAUCUAAUGUUCUUACACUUUCUCUGAAACGCUUUGCAAAUUCUACUGGAGGAAAAAUUGCUAAGGAUGUGAAAUACCCUGAGUAUCUUGAUAUUCGGCCAUAUAUGUCUCAACCAAAUGGAGAACCCAUCAUUUAUGUUUUGUAUGCAGUGCUGGUCCACACAGGAUUUAACUGCCAUGCAGGCCAUUACUUCUGUUACAUAAAAGCUAGCAAUGGCCUGUGGUAUCAAAUGAAUGACUCCAUUGUGUCUACUAGUGAUAUUAGAUCGGUACUCAGCCAACAAGCAUAUGUGCUCUUUUAUAUCAGGUCCCAUGAUGUGAAAAAUGGAGGUGAACUUACUCAUUCCACCCAUAGUCCUGGCCAGUCCUCUCCCCGCCCAGUCAUUAGUCAGCGGGUUGUCAGCAACAAGCAGGCUGCAUCAGGGUUUAUUGGACCACAGCUUCCCUCCCACAUGAUGAAGAAUUCACCUCACUUGAAUGGAACUGGGCCACCGAAAGACACGCCGAGCAGUUCCAUGUCGAGUCCUAAUGGAAGUCCCAGUGUCAACAGGCCUAAUCCUGUUAAUGCUUCUGCUUCUGUUCAAAACUGGUCAGUUAACAGGCCCUCUGUGAUUCCAGAACACCCUAAGAAACAAAAAAUCACUAUCAGUAUUCAUAACAAGUUGCCUGUUCGCCAAGCUCAAUCUCAACCUAACCAUCAUAGCAACUCCUUAGAGGGCCCUAACAAGCCUGUUCCUCCUUCUACUGUCACCAACUGUUCUGCGAUACAGUCUACCUCGAAUACAUCCGCAAUGUCAGUUUCUAGUAAACUAGCAAAACCGCUCUCCCCGAGCAAGUCCUGUUCCAAGCCAGUGAUGAAUGGCAAGUCCAAGGUGAGCUCCAGUGUGUUGGUCCCUUACGGCGCCGAGUCAUCUGAAGAAUCUGAUGAGGAGUCCAAGGGCCUAGCCAAGGAGAAUGGCAUGGGCAGAAUAGCCACUACUCAUGCUACUGGCCACGAAGCUGAAGAGGAUGAGGCCCCAUCACAUGAGCUUCAAGAACCUAUCACUCUAAAUGGUGCUAAUAGUACAGACAGUGACCCCAAAGAAAAUGGCCUGUCAUUCGAAGGUUCUAGUUGCCAAGUUCAGCCUGCUUUACACUCAGAAAAUCCCUUUUCUAAAGCAAACGGUCUUCCUGCAAAGUUAAUACCUGCAUCUUUGCCAUCUCUUCCGGAAGACAAAAUCUUAGAGACCUUCAAACUUAGCAACAAAGUAAAAGGAUCAACAGAUGAAACAAGUCCACCUGGAACAGAGCAAAGUCAGUCACGGGACCUUGCUGUGGAGCUUGAGGCUGGCAGUGUCACUGCUGGUUCCCAUGAGAAACUGGACCCGAUCUCAAGUCUAUGCAGCAAGUUCAAGAAAGCUUUGCUUUCUCCCGACAGCAGUCUUAAAUCUACCAAAGAAGUUGUCUCAGAAAAUAGUUCAGCCAAACCUGAUGAGUCUUUGCCCAUUGUAAACAACCUUUGUAAUAAUGACAAAACCAGUACAGGGUCUGAUCCACUUCCUGAACCCUGUGACACUGAAAACUUAACACACAACUGCAGUGAAACUCCCCAGGAGGUCAAAGCAUUGUUAACUGAGAGUCUGCAGGAUUCUGGUCCAGCAGAAACAGUGAAGCAGCUGAGCCCAGCUCCCCCCACACAUUUAGAAGGUGCACAUGAGUCCGAGCUUUUAGUUUACCUUAGCAGAGACCAUUGUGGUGAUACAGAAACCCCAUCCCGAAGCACAGGUGAAUCUGCCGACACGCUGCCCUCUGCUCAGCCACCCAGGACCCCAGUCGCCCAUCCCGAUGGCCCUGAGCACAGUCAUGGGGAGAGGUGUGGUGAAGGUAAGGCCAGCCAGAAAGUUCCAGAUCACCCUCCGGUUAAAGAGAAAAUCAGCAGCCUUAGGAAAGUUGACCGAGGACAUUACCGAAACCGGCGAGACCGCUCCUCCAGUGGGGAACAUGUGCAGAAAAGUCGGAGUCGGAGUCGGAGUAGGACUGAGGGUCAUUGUCACAGAAAGCGGCACUCGUAUGCCAGAAAGCACAGCAAGCAGGAAUGCCAUGCUGUGGAACACUGUAACGGGAGCCGGCACCCUCUGUGUUAUGGUGAGAGAGUCAGUCCCGGUGAGCGUCGCAGUCUGAGCAGGUACAGCUACCACCACUCCCGAACCAGGAGCGGGACUGACCAAGACUGGAGCCGAUACUACCCCUUGGACAAUGAGCACUCCUGGCUCCCAGAGAAGUACUAUGCUGAGAAGAUGCGGUGGGACCGGUGCAGGUACUACCCCGAUAGGUACGCCCCGUACACAGGCAGGGAGCCCAGUGUGAAGCGGCCACACAAGGACUCCUCCCGGGCCAGGAAGGGCUGGGAGCCUCCUGCCCGGGUGAGGGAGCGGACCCACUUCCACAGCCCACGCACAGGUGCCGCACCCCCUUUCCCUCUGCACCCUGAGCGCUACCCCCAAGAAAAGGCUGCCUUUGGAGCUGAUGACAGUGGCUGUGGCCUCUCUGAUCGAUUUCAUGAACAUGAAAGCAUGAAGUCACGCAAACAUAGGUACGAGAGUGCAGAAAGUAGCGACAGUCACGUGGAAAAGAAAACCCACAGGAGCCUGCCCAAAGACUUGGAGGAGCCUAAGGCAAAGAAGCGCAAAAAAUCAAAGAAGAAAAAGAAAUCUAAAGACAAACACCAGGAACGUGACUACAGGCAUCAGCUGGAUCCAGAUCUUCCAGUAGUGUACUCUGAUGCUGAUCUCCACAGACACAAAAAGAAGAAAAAGAAAAAGAAGAGGCACUCAGGGAAAUCAGAAGACUUUGCAAAAGAACCAGGACUGCACUCACCGAAGGCCUCAAGCUAUGAGACUGUUGACCAUUUCCGGAGACCUGAGGGCAGUUUCCUGCUCACUGAUGGCCUGGCUGUGGAGGGCAUUGGAUCUUUCCGAAAGAAAACAAAGCAUUUAAGGAUGGAGAGCAGGGCCGACAGGUGCCACCUGUUGGAGUAUGGCCAGGGUAAGAGGCGAUUCGUGGAAUUAAGAAGAGACAAACUCUUUUGAUAAGUUUUUUUGGAAAUGGCAAUUAACAUAUGGAGAUGGAACCUCAAGUGGCUUGAAAGGGUGCGCGAGUAAUACAAGGUUCCUGCCUCUUCCACCUCGACUCACAAGCCCUGUGUGAUUCAUUGUCCCUGUGUAGUAUGGAUGCUUGACACUGAUCCCUAGCACUGAAGGAUGGUUACAUGGAACUGGAAUUUAUGACCCUUGGAAUUUGAGGCACUCUGAGUGUCUUGAGUAUUUGCUCGCAAGGGAGAACUUCUUUUGUUUUCGAAGCAUUUUUGGUAGUGAUGCUUUGGCACUAUUUACUUUACUCUCCUGAUUCCUUAAAGCAUCCAGAGUGUACCUUAACUCAUAGUUUGAUGACCUGGGCCAUUAGAAAUUUUAGCUGCCAUCUCUACCAGUGAUGCCUUUGAGGCUCCUGACUCUAGGCCCCAGGGCAUCCCAGAUUCUUUCGUGUAAACUGUGUCUUCCCGUGAUUUGGCAUCUCUUUGUGCUCUGAUUGCAGGGGGGCAGCCCCUCCCCCUUUGUGACUGGUUCCCUGAGGAGGAGCCCUGAGAAGCUUGUUAAGAGUGAAAGUGAUGGUAGUUGGGGCCGGGCACAGGUUGGCAAGCUGCGUCUCGAAGGCCAAAGCCAGCCCUGUGCCUGUCUCACAUCACGUGUGAGUUAAGAGUGGCUUUCAUGUUUUCAAAACUUCCAAAGAGGAGUAGUGCUUUGUUUCACCUGAACAAAGUGUGAAAUCCAAAUGUCAGUGUCUGUAGAUACAGCCAGUAUCUGCAGGAGGUUGGUGCUCCUGACACAGGUAAUUGAAAACAUGGCCUCAAAACAAAAAUUCACUAGUUAUGAUUCAACAUGUUCCACAGAAGCCAUCCCAACUCAGCUUAAAUUAUAAACAUAAAUUUGUUCAAAUCUGCGUGGUGCUUCUUUAGUAAAUACUGUACAGAUUUUACCAUGAAUUUUUUUUUUUUAGUUUUUACCUUUUCUUAAUUGCCCUUAUUCCAAAAGGAUGAACACUUUCUACGACUGCUGACCAUUGUAAAAUACAGUGUAUAUAAAUCACAUUGAAAUAAUGCCCUGGAAUAGAACAUCUCAAAUGCUGCUUAAUUACAGACUCAGGUUGAUUACUUGUAUUUCAUGUAAUGUUCCUCCAAGUUAGACAUCUGAUGGUGCAAGACCAACCGGGAAACCAUGGAAUUAUUAAAAGUACAAACUGACAGUGCGUGUAUUUAAUUUAAAGACUUAUUUAAAAAUUUACAAGCUCUCAACGAGACUUUUGAGAGCAGUCUUUUCUGUAAUGUCUGAUACUAGAAACUAAUUUGCUUCCUAUUUUAGUUGUAUUCAAGAUUUGAAAAUGUAUUUUAUAGACAAGUUCUGUUUUUGAACUUCGUGGAACUAUUCCAAUCAACUUACCAGUUAUGAUGAGUAUUCACAUUAUGAAUGUAUAAUCCAAACAUUGUUUGUAAAGCUUACAGUACGUUUUUAUUACAUAACACUUUUUUAUACUGUGUCUCGUCACCUGUAUGAUACUGGAGUCUGAGUUGUCAGCUUGGUCCCUUAAAGUUUCUAGUUACAGACAAAAUCAUACUGUGAUUUUAUUUUUAAUAUGGAUAUGCUAUCAAACUGUGAUACACUUAUAAUUCACUGGUCCUGCAUCAGGAGACGGAGUGGGGAAAACUGUAUUUAAUACAGUUUCUAUCUGAAUAAUCUGUAUGGUUUAUACAGCUUGUGUUGUUCAGAGAUGUCUAAAGUUUGAUCUUUGUUUUUUUAAAGAUUAAAAAAGCACUUGCCCCACUGUAAAUAUACAGCAUGUAAAAUUUAUAUAGUAUAUAAAUGGCAGCAAAUUAAACAA